rnacentral:rRNA from 1 species
AUUGAACGCUGGCGGCAGGCCUAACACAUGCAAGUCGAGCGAGCGGCGGACGGGUGAGUAAUGUAUGGGGACUGCCCGAUAGCGGGGGAUAACUACUGGAAACGGUGGCUAAUACCGCAUACUAUCGGAUAACCCAUAUGGGAUUAGCUAGUUGGUGGGGUAAAGGCUCACCUAGGCGACGAUCGCUAGCUGGUCUGAGAGGAUGACGAGCCGCACUGUGACUGAGACACGGCCCAGACUCCUAGGGAGGCACAAGUGGGGAAUAUUGCACAAUGGGCGCAAGCCUGAUGCAGCCAUGCCGCGUGUAGGAAGAAGGCCCUAGGGUUGUAAAGUACGUUCAGUGGGGAGGCGUUACCGGCAGAAGAAGCACCGGCUAACUCCGUGCCAGCCGCCGCGGUAAUUC